rnacentral:ncRNA from 2 species
GGAAAAUGCAGUGACUGACGACAACCGUGGAAUUAACCACAUGGGAGCUGCAUUUUAUACGGUCGGGUCGUCUGGGCAGAGAUA